AACGAACGCUGGCGGCAUGCCUAACACAUGCAAGUCGAACGAGACCUUCGGGUCUAGUGGCGCACGGGUGCGUAACGCGUGGGAACCUGCCCUUAGGUUCGGAAUAACUCCCCGAAAGGGGUGAUAAUACCGGAUAAUGUCUUCGGCCCAAAGAUUUAUCGCCUUUGGAUGGGCCCGCGUUGGAUUAGCUAGUUGGUAGGGUAAAAGCCUACCACGGCGACGAUCCAUAGCUGGUCUGAGAGGAUGAUCAGCCACACUGGGACUGAGACACGGCCCAGACUCCUACGGGAGGCAGCAGUGGGGAAUAUUGGACAAUGGGCGAAAGCCUGAACCAGCAAUGCCGCGUGAGUGAUGAAGGCCUUAGGGUUGUAAAGCGCUUUUACCCGGGAUGAUAAUGACAGUACCGGGAGAAUAAGCUCCGGCUAACUCCGUG
rnacentral:rRNA from 1 species